rnacentral:rRNA from 1 species
GGACUACCAGGGUAUCUAAUCCCGUUUGCUCCCCUAGCUUUCGCGCCUCAGCGUCAGGAAAGGUCCAGUGCGUCGCUUUCGCCACCGGCGUUCCUCGGGAUAUCUACGCAUUUCACCGCUCCACCCUGAGUUCCACGCACCCCUACCUCCCUCCAGACAACCAGUAUCGGGAGCUGUUUUCCAGUUAAGCUGAAAGAUUUCACCCCCGACUUGGUUACCCGCCUACGCGCCCUUUAAGCCCAGUGAAUCCGAACAACGUUUGCACGGUUCGUCUUACCGCGGCUGCUGGCAC